rnacentral:rRNA from 1 species
UACGGAGGGGGCUAGCGUUGUUCGGAAUUACUGGGCGUAAAGCGCACGUAGGCGGCUUUGCAAGUUAGAAGUGAAAGCCCGGGGCUCAACUCCGGAACUGCCUUUAAAACUGCAUCGCUAGAAUUGUGGAGAGGUAAGUGGAAUUCCGAGUGUAGAGGUGAAAUUCGUAGAUAUUCGGAAGAACACCAGUGGCGAAGGCGACUUACUGGACACAUAUUGACGCUGAGGUGCGAAAGCGUGGGGAGCAAACAGG